GUUUACGGGCGUUCGCGGCGCCGUUAGUCUCCGUUCCGCGACGCGGUGCGGUGUGGUGCGGUGUGGCGCAACGGCGUGCGCUUUUUCUCUCUUCUUUUCUCUUUCUUUUCCUCUCCGGGAAAACCCUCGUCGGAAUAACGAGGAAAAUUGACAGUGACGACGACGACGAUGAUGAUGACGAUGAUAACGACGAUGAUAACGACGAUGACGACGACGCUGCCGCCGCCGCUGCGUUGAGCGACGAAAAAAGGUGUGCAAGUGAGACGAAAGUAUACGACCAACCGACCGGUGGCCGGUACAUGCUGUGCGGCUAUUUAAAAGCACUAAAAGUGUGGUAAUCGGUGAAAAGUGCCCUCCACACGACCACGACACACCCUCUUGACAUCCGUCGCUCGCAUCGCCAUCGGCUCGGCAGCGGCCUCUCUUUUUCUUUCUUUCUCUAUCCUCUUCCUUCUCUUUCUUCGCGUCUUCCCUUUCUCUCUCUGUCGUCUCGUUUCAUUCCAUCUCGCUUCUUCUUUCGCACACUUACAGAAUCGCCAACGUACGUACUAUAUCUUUCUCUCUCUCUCUCUCUCUCUCCCUCCUUCUAUCUCUCCCCUCUCCUGCAUUCUUCCUCGUCUCUAACCGUGCACACGUUGCUCUUUCUCCCAAAGGUGCUCUUCGCUUUCUUUCUUCCAUCUUCCAUCUUUGUCUAUUCGAUGGCGCAAAGUGAUUUAUCAUCACGAUGGAUUUCGUGAUGACGAAGACAGUGACGACAACGACGGCGACGGCGACUUUGGCCCGUUAAAACUAUAGGUACAGUACAGUACGGUACAAUCAGUCCCUACCCCUCUCUACCCCCUCCUGCGCCGCCAUUGGGCCAUCCCUCGUCGUUGCACGCCGAGCAGCAGCAGCAGCAGCAGCAGCAGCAGCAGCAGCGUCUCGCCCGGUAUUCUUACACUACGUCGCCGGCCUCACACACGUACCCUUUCCUCGGGAUUCUUCGUCUUUCUUUCUCUUUCUACUUUUCGCUUUACUCCGGUUUCCACCGACCGAUCGAGAGAGUGCACGAAUUCGCGUUUAGUGAUCUGUGCGUGCGUACGUGUCGCGUGUGUCGUAUCGUAUCGUGCCGUGCUGUGCCGUGCCGUGCCGUGCCGUGCCGUGCUGUGCUGUGCUGUGCUGUGCCGAGUCGUGUGUCGUGUCGUGCGAAAGCGCGCUACAGCGUGUGGUUUUCUCUGUUCAGUUGUCCCAUCAGUACCGCCGGUGAGCGAGGAAACUCAUCGCGCGGUGUUGCGGUGCGGCAAGUGACGACGUCGUCGGCCGCGAAGCGGACGAGGACGUACGAAGGAACGACGAGGAAGCGCCGACGAACGAGAAGAGGAGGAGGAGGAAGAGGAGGUGGAAGAAGCGGCGGCUGUGCGGGAGG